UACAGAGGGGGCAAGCGUUGUUCGGAAUUACUGGGCGUAAAGGGCGUGUAGGCGGCCUUCUAAGUCGAACGUGAAAUCCCCGGGCUCAACCCGGGAACUGCGUCCGAUACUGGAAGGCUUGAAUCCGGGAGAGGGAUGCGGAAUUCCUGGUGUAGCGGUGAAAUGCGCAGAUAUCAGGAGGAACACCGGUGGCGAAGGCGGAUCUCUGGGCCUUACCUGACGCUCAGGCGCGAAAGCUAGGGGAGCGAACAGG
rnacentral:rRNA from 1 species